AAAGGGGUGUAACGUGUAGAGGAAGUGUCACUGGAAGUGUACAUGUAGCGUAGAUUAAAGGGUACGCGUAACAGGUAGAGAAAGUGUUAACGGGAGUGUAAAAUGUAGAGUAAACAUAAAGGGGAGUGUAACUUGCACAGAAACUGUAAAUAAGGACGAACGCUAGCGCUCUGACGCAAGUUGGCAUUUAGCAGCGCGCUGAGAGGGACGGGGGGAGGUAAACAAGAUGGCGGCUACCUUGAAUCAGCUGCAGCAUUAGGAUAAGAGCAGAGGAGAUCUAUGACUGCGGUGACAACACGCACAAGAGAGACAAACCGGACUACACUUAGUAUUUACACUUAUUAGUAUUACGAUCCAAGGUUUCUUGCUUUUGUUGGACUGGGAUUUGCAGUGCUGGGGGGGGGGAAAUCAGUCCCAAGAGGAUAAAGAAUAGCUUUUAUUAACCUGGACCUACUUGUAUCAGUAUGAAGAUGCAUCACAGCACGAUGGACCUGAUGCUCUAGAGAACGUUUUGUUAUCCAGUGGGAAAAGCCUGUGUACCCAAGACAGACGUCGUCGCAAUUUCUCAACUGGUUUGCUUUGUACUGGCUAUGUUGGCCGAGAUGAGUAGGGGCCCAGUCAUUCCAAAUGUAGGCUAAUGCCUGCCUCUGAUUGGACAGUGUAUUUUGAAUACAAGAGGCCAGUGUUCAGUAACGUCUGGUGACUUUUUUUCUUCCCCCUUCUUAGUUUGUUUUUUGUUUUGUUUUUUGCACUGGACCUUUGGCCCUGCACCGUCUACCGGUACCCUUGCACUCUUUGCUACUUAUGUUUACAUCCUUGUUCUACCUGAGCCCACAUAAAAGCAGCACCAUUGUUGCAAUCAAGUAUCGAUUCUUUCAGAUGCUGUUUUAGUAGGUUUAAAUUUUUUUAUCCCCAGCCAAUCACAAUUGGAGAUACAGGCCACAUCUCCUUGUAGCGCUUAGGGAGUAAGCGAGCGAAAGAGAAAGGCAGGCUGCAAGAGAAGAUGAGUGUCGGGGAUCUUCAGCACUCGGGCUACCUGACCGAUAACGAGCUCAUGGGCAUGGACACUUUCAUCCACCGCAUAGACUCCACUGAAGUGAUCUACCAGCCACGGCGCAAGCGCGCCAAGCUGAUCGGGAAGUACCUGAUGGGCGACCUGUUGGGCGAGGGAUCUUACGGCAAGGUGAAGGAGAUGCUGGACUCUGAGACUCUGUGUCGGCGAGCUGUGAAGAUCCUCAAGAAGAAGAAGCUGAGGAGAAUCCCUAAUGGAGAGGCCAAUGUGAAAAAGGAAAUUCAGCUGCUAAGAAGACUACAGCAUAAAAAUGUGAUCCAGUUGGUGGAUGUAUUGUACAAUGAAGAGAAGCAGAAAAUGUAUAUGGUAAUGGAGUACUGCGUUUGUGGCAUGCAGGAAAUGUUGGACAGUGUUCCAGAGAAAAGGUUUCCAGUAUUUCAAGCUCACGGGUACUUUUGCCAACUUUUGGAUGGCCUUGAAUAUUUGCACAGCCAGGGAAUUGUUCACAAAGACAUUAAACCAGGGAAUUUGCUGCUGACCACGGAUGGCGCUUUAAAGAUCUCCGACUUGGGCGUUGCAGAGGCUCUUCACCCGUUUGCGGAGGAUGACACAUGUCGAACGAGUCAGGGCUCGCCGGCUUUCCAGCCACCUGAGAUCGCCAAUGGCUUGGACACCUUUUCAGGGUUUAAAGUGGACAUCUGGUCCGCAGGGGUUACACUAUACAACAUAACGACGAGCCUGUAUCCAUUCGAGGGGGAUAACAUCUAUAAGCUCUUUGAGAACAUUGGAAAGGGAGAUUACACUAUCCCAGAGGAUUGUGGGCCACAGCUGACCGACCUGUUGAGAGGAAUGCUCGAAUACGAUCCUGUAAAGAGAUUCUCAAUACAGCAAAUUAGGCAGCACAAUUGGGUGAGGAAGAAACACCCACCUUCAGAGCCACCUGUGCCUAUCCCACCCAGCGCUGAGACCCGUGACAUUUGGAGGAGCAUGACGGUGGUGCCCUACCUGGAGGAUCUCCAUGGUUACGGUGAAGAGGACGAGGACGACGAGAUGUUUGACGCCGAGGAUGACAUUAUCUAUACUCAGGAUUUCACAGUGCCAGGGCAGGUGGAAGAGGAGGAGGAAGAGGAGGAAGAGUGUGGUGCGGUGCGGAGCCGUGCCGCGGUGAAGCCGGUUUGUGUAAACGGGACAGAACCGGCAGCACUGAAACCCAAAUCAGACCGGCGCUCCAGCUCCUCGUCAAACCCCUCGCGCAAGGGCAUGUCCACAGCCAGCAAGAUCCGCAAACUCUCCACCUGCAAACAGCAAUGACCACGCCCCCUCUCCUCUGCCCUGCCCACCUGCCUCUCUCUCUCUCUGUACAGGUUUGUUAUUUUUCCCGUCCUCUGUUUUGGAUUCCCAGCCAUGAAAACAUGCCACAGUUGCUGACCCACACUUCACCAUGGACUAUGAGCCCUAACGGAAACGAUGGCAGGAAGUGUGGAUGUGUGACUCUUUUCGUGGUCUUUCCCUGGAAAGGACUGACUGAUUUGGGGAUGCUGUAUAAGGGAGGAAACUCCUGUUUUUUUCCCCCCUUCCCUGGUUACAUAUUUUCCUCUCGCUCUCUGUGUCUCUCUGUGAGGCGUUCUUAGAUUCAUUCUGUUGAACUCACCCUCGUUCUCUCUCUCUCUCUCCCCCCCCCCACCAUGCUGCAAACCCCCCAUUUUAUCCCAGAUCUCUACCCAAAGGCGUGUGGCCGGUUUUGUGUCACCCCCUACCCCCCUCGUGCCGGGCUCUUGUAGUCCAUGAAAUCUGACCUCAAUGUUUAGUUCUUUAGGUGAUCUUUUAAUUUUACAGUAAUUAAAUGCAGUUUAAGGUGCACAUGGAGUUUAUGUAAAAGAAUGGCAUCAAGGACAAAAGAUAUCAGUUAUUAUAUAGAAGCCAUGGUGAGAAUGCUGAAGAUAAAAUUAUACCCAUAAGAAUAAAAACUGCAUGCUGUGAAGAGCUUUUGGGGGCAAAAAGGGGUAUGAUCUGAUCUGUACAGGCAAAUGUAUCGAUGCCUGCUCAGUGCAGGAAGGUUUGGUUAGUUUUGUUUUGUUUUGUUUUACACUAGGCUUUUGUUUUGUUCAAUUUUUUUUCCAAUAAAUAUUUUUUAAUUAUUAUUUAUAUAAAACAUCUCCCAACCAAACCAAAUCUCCUGGUCGUG